UGCCCUAGUAACGGCGAGUGAAGCGGCAACAGCUCAAAUUUGAAAUCUGGCCCUCGGGUCCGAGUUGUAAUUUGUAGAGGAUGCUUUUGGUGCGGUGCCUUCCGAGUUCCCUGGAACGGGACGCCAUAGAGGGUGAGAGCCCCGUCUGGUCGGAUACCAAUCCUCUGUAAAGCUCCUUCGACGAGUCGAGUAGUUUGGGAAUGCUGCUCAAAAUGGGAGGUAUAUGUCUUCUAAAGCUAAAUAUUGGCCAGAGACCGAUAGCGCACAAGUAGAGUGAUCGAAAGAUGAAAAGCACUUUGAAAAGAGGGUUAAACAGUACGUGAAAUUGUUGAAAGGGAAGCGCUUGUGACCAGACUUGGGCCCGGUUAAUCAUCCAGUGUUCUCACUGGUGCACUUGGCCGGCCCAGGCCAGCAUCAGUUCGGCGUGGGGGAUAAAGACUUCGGGAAUGUGGCUCCUCCGGGAGUGUUAUAGCCCGUUGUGUAAUACCCUGUACUGGACUGAGGUUCGCGCAUUCGCAAGGAUGCUGGCGUAAUGGUCAUCAGCGACCCGUCUUGAAACACGGACCAAGGAGUCGUCUUCGUAUGCGAGUGUUCGGGUGUUAAACCCCUACGCGUAAUGAAAGUGAACGCAGGUGAGAGCUUCGGCGCAUCAUCGACCGAUCCUGAUGUUCUCGGAUGGAUUUGAGUAAGAGCAUACGGGGCCGGACCCGAAAGAAGGUGAACUAUGCCUGUAUAGGGUGAAGCCAGAGGAAACUCUGGUGGAGGCUCGCAGCGGUUCUGACGUGCAAAUCGAUCGUCAAAUAUGGGCAUG
rnacentral:rRNA from 1 species